AUUCCGGCCCGGUUUCAUUCCCCACCUCCCACCCUCCGGAUCCAAUCCGGAUCGACGCGCCGGCGCGCUCGUGGGCGAUGGCGCACGGAGAGGGGCAGGCGACGGCGUGCGAGGCGACGGUGCAGCGGCACGGUGGGGCACUGACGGCUCGGUUCCGAGGUGCCACCAGAUCUCGCCGCAGCGUCGUCGUCCAUGUCGCUGUGGCCGACGACGACAUGCUGCCCGACGCCGCGGCCCUCUCCUUCGCGUUCGCCGCCUGGAAGUAGCAGCAGCCCCGGCGGCGGCCGGCCCCUCCGUCGGCUUCUUUCCUGGUUGCACCACCUCGACCUCGGACGCGGGAAGUGGGCGACCACGAUGGUCUAUUGAGUUUUGACCCGAGAAAGCAAAUUCUGUUUUCCGAUGUGAACUAGCACAUCCUUGUCUGGAUAGCCCUGAUGUCAGGAUCCUCAGAUCCGAGAACGCAAAAAGGGAAAUCGAUGGAACAAAAGAACAGAACAGCAAAUUCACGAGGGCAAGUACUCGAUUGAUAGAAUUCAGAGCUGAGCCUCUACGGAGGUCAAGCUGAAGUUCCUCAGAUACAGAUACGCCGCCAGGGAGACGGGCAAAUGACUACAGCUACGCUAAGUUCUAUCUAAGGGUUACGAGUACUUUUCCCAACAUGUCCAGGGUCGAAGCCGAUCUGUGCCUAAAUACAUGUGGCGAGAUCAUUAAGCUAAACAAGAAUUACACAAGGAGAACAGUGUUUAACAUUCAGGCGAGGUGCAGUCCUUGGAUGAACAUCAGACAGUCGUCGUCGAAGCCGCGCAAAGGGGUAUGCAGCAUGCCGACUUCUUAUCUGACGAAACUGAAUGGUAAACAUGCCUGACACCUGAUUUCCUUGGGUACUCAAUCUGAAUGCAAUCUGAGUUAUCCGGUUGUUCACCUUGAUGGAUUGGCCUAUCUUGGAUGCUAUCUGUGACAAAGACAAAACUUAUAUACAAUAUACUAGUGGAAGUGACAUUCUUUAUCAAGUUUCAGGUCUAGAACACUCACAUUUCCAUGGAGUUGAAGGGCUUUGACGGAUCACCUACUGCAAGUAACUUCUACAAGUUUGGAUUAAGAAGACUCUCCUAGAUGCUACUAUAUGUUACCAGAUGCUGAGUUAUGCCAUGUGAUCUAUGAAAUGUUGACAUGAGUUUGGAAUUAGCAUCACCGUUUCUGCAGUUUGGAUUAACAAAUUAGUCAUGCUUUGGGUCCAAUGGGGAAGUCGUAUUUUCCUCAUGAAUAUUUGCUAGUUAGUGAUAACAUGAAAACCAUAUAGGAAUUGAUCUCAAAAGCUAGAGAGGAGGUAUGUUAAAUUA